UACGAAGGGUGCAAGCGUUACUCGGAAUUACUGGGCGUAAAGCGUGCGCAGGCGGUGAUGUAAGACAGAUGUGAAAUCCCCGGGCUCAACCUGGGACCUGCAUUUGUGACUGCAUCGCUAGAGUACGGUAGAGGGGGAUGGAAUUCCGCGUGUAGCAGUGAAAUGCGUAGAUAUGCGGAGGAACACCGAUGGCGAAGGCAAUCCCCUGGACCUGUACUGACGCUCAUGCACGAAAGCGUGGGGAGCAAACAGG
rnacentral:rRNA from 1 species